rnacentral:rRNA from 1 species
UACGAAGGGGCUAGCGUUGUUCGGAAUUACUGGGCGUAAAGCGCACGUAGGCGGACAUUUAAGUCAGGGGUGAAAUCCCAGAGCUCAACUCUGGAACUGCCUUUGAUACUGGGUGUCUUGAGUAUGGAAGAGGUGAGUGGAAUUCCGAGUGUAGAGGUGAAAUUCGUAGAUAUUCGGAGGAACACCAGUGGCGAAGGCGGCUCACUGGUCCAUUACUGACGCUGAGUGACGAAGCGUGGGGAGCAAACAGG